ensembl:lncRNA
GAUUAACACAGAGCGAACUUGGCAAAAUACAAUGCAUGCUUCUGUAGUACGAGUAGUACAGUAUCAUCGGUAACAAUUGUGUAUAAGCCACCUAGCUAAUAAAAUACUGGGGCUUGCGGUCAUUUGUUACAUUUCAACCACAGCGAUUCCCCAAUUAAGGCGCAACAGAGUUCACCGGCAAAUGCAGGAACAACGGAAAUAAUAACUAAACCAACGAAUGAGAAAUGGUGGAGGCUACCAGAACAAAGAGACAUUUUUUCAGAAUAAACGUGCACCUGUCCCAGCUCUGGUCCCGGUCCCAGUCCCUGUCCCAGCCCCUGCACCUCCAGCUGCCCCAGCACCAAGGGCCCCUCCUGCCCCACCUGGUCCUAGAAAAAUAAACAUCAAGGCAGUUCAUAUGUCUGCAUCUUUCCAUCUGAGAGAUGAUGGGAAAUGCAGCAGCAAGGGAGAACCGCUGUACCCUCCUGGAAGCCCACCUGGCACCCCUCCUAAUCCUGCUCCGCCCCCGGCUCCAACGCCACCUGGUCCGGCUCCAAAGCCACCUGGUCCGGCUCCAUAGCCACCUGGUCCGGCUCCGAAGCCACCUGGUCCAGCUCCGAAGCCACCUUUGUAUACAGAGUGUGUUAAUAUAGGGAUGUGAUGAUAUUGUAUCAUCUGUUUAGCUAGAAUGUGGUGUUGCAGUGUGAUUAUAUGUACAAUUUUCAGCUGUUACUUAAAUGGUGGUAGUGCAGUAAGUAGCUUUGAGAGGCAAAGUCGACAUUGGUGCUAAAUAAUAGGCAAUAUUUUCUCACCUGGUCCAUAGCCACCUGGUACCCCUCCGACUAUGGAAGUAAGAGGUAAUCCCCCAGAUCAAAGUUAGACAUUUUCUGGACAUCGAUUCAACUUUAUAUUCCCUUAAAGGGAUAGUUCACCCAAAUUACCAUAUUGGUUUCCUUGAACAACGUACGACCAGACUGACAAGACCAAUAAACUCACAUCCUUGUCCAGCUCCUCCUCCAAGGGCCCCACCGGCCCCACCAGCAACUUGUCCAUAUUUAGCAGGUUUUGAUCCGGCUCCAUAUCCUGUAGAAUCAUAGCGAAUCUUUUCACUACAGAAUGUUGAACUCAAAACCAACAGAAAAAAACUGCCCAACCAAUGCCAUUUAGUAGGAAGCUUGAAGCCCAACAAACAAUGUUUUCCCUGGAAUACACAACAAGGAUUCCCAAUCAAAUAAUCCCCCCAAGUCCAACUAUUAUUAGUUGCCUUUAUUUAACCAGGUAAAUCAUUAAGAACAUAUUCUCAACAAACAAGGAACGCUGCUUUGUAAAUAGCCCCUAUAUCCCAACCUGUCCUAGGGAACCCCUGGCUCUGCUGUUGACUAACCUCUUCCAGGUCCAUAUCCGGCCCCAGGUAGUCCUCCUGCUCUUGCCCUAGCUUCAUAGCCUCCUCCAGGGACUCCUCCUGCUCCCUGACCGUACCCAGCUCCAGGCCCUGUUCCUGCUCCAUACCCUGCACCAGGCCCAGCUCCGGUCCCGUAUCCACCCCCAGGCACUCUUCCUCCUGCUCCUGCUUCUCCUGCUCCUAAGGCGCCUCCUGCCCCUGGUCCGUAGCCUCCUCCUGGCAGACCUCCUCCCGGGGCACCGAAUCGCCCACCAAGGCCUCCACCCGGAGCUCCUCCACCUCCUCCUGGACCUGGCAGGACAACACGGGAGGGGUCAAAGGUUAGGGUUAGACAACAUAAAUAUGGCAGCCAUAUUGUUUUGUUUCAAGGAUUUUAACAUAAAUACUCUCCACAGAGAGAAAAUAAUGAUUACCGUAUUUCAGAGACUUAGCCCCAGCAGGAUAUCCUGUGAGACAGAGCACAUGAUGGGAGACAUUUUAAUGAUGGGAGACACUUCGUUGGUCCUAUACCAGGCAGUGUCAGAGGAAGGCCCUAAAAAUGGUUGAAGAGUCCAGCUAUCCAAGUCAUAGACUGUUCUCUCUGCUACCGCACGACAAACGGUACCGAUGCACCAAGUCUGGAACCAACAUUAUUCUGAACAGCUUCUAGCCAAAAGACUGCUAAAUAGUUAACCAAUUAGCUACCCAGACUAUCUGCAUUGACCCUUUUUGCACUAACUCUCAUCACAUGCAGCUGCAGCUGCUGCUGCUUAUUAUCUAUCCUGUUGCCUCGUCACUUUACCUCUACCUAUACAGUGCCUUGCAAAAGUAUUGUUGUAGUUGAAUCAGAAUUAGUUAGGUAACAUAGAUAAAUAAGAUGUUUUAUUUACUUUAUACUUGUCAUUAGAAUGUCUUCUUUUGGACUAUACUGUUGGCAGUUGCAUUUUCUUCUCCUCUAGGGAAAAGUCACUUGGGGCCCAGAGAGGGGAGAGGUCAGGCUUGUCUUUUACAUGUCUGGUAAUAGGCAGAAUAUCAGAAAGGGAGAAGUCAGGUUUGAACAUUGUCUUCAUAAUGAAUAUAUCUGUGAAACCAUGUGAAGGGCUCCGUAAUGUCUGUACUCCAGUCACUCCCUCUCUUUUCCCAUUGGGGGAGGAGUAUGGCAGUGUCUGGAACCAUUGUAUGUCCCCUCUCUUGACCUAGUAUAUGACCUGGAGGCUCACUCUCCUCCGUGAGCUUGUCCAGGAGGGGGUGUAUUUGAGAUGGGAGUAUCUAGAAUUAACAACUGAUAUAAGCCAUUGGAUGAGGUAAUGUUUUGGUAAUAUGAAGUACCAAGAACGAGAAGUAGAACCUCGUCUACGAGACCAAACUGAACGAAAAUUUAUAGUUAAUGCUAUCUGGCUAUGGGAUACUCCUCUUUCAAGUAAAAGGCCCUUUGUGAAGUUCCUAAGAUCUGUGGUUCGUCAUUGUGAGUUGAGAGGGGUGUAUCUUGGCUAUAAAAUAUGAAGUAUUCUUUUGUAAGCACUCUCAGAAUUCAUUUAUAGACACUGAAUUGAUCUGAGAGUCACAGGGCUAUGGUGAAGGUCAUUAUUAAAAUAUUAAGUUUAAGUACAACUCUGACUGGUGUGUGGUUUGUAACUCUCCUCAUUUAGUAAUACAGGAAAUUACCACGACAGUAAUUCUUCCCCC